AACGUAGGUUCCGAGCGUUAUCCGGAUUUACUGGGCGUAAAGCGCGUUCAGGCGGUUUGGCAAGUCGGGCAUGAAAUCUCUCGGCUCAACCGGGAGAGGUUGUCCGAUACUUCCAGACUUGAGGGCAGUAGAGGGUGGUGGAAUUCCGGGUGUAGUGGUGAAAUGCGUAGAUAUCCGGAGGAACACCAGUGGCGAAAGCGGCCACCUGGACUGCACCUGACGCUGACACGCGAAAGCCAGGGGAGCAAACGGG
rnacentral:rRNA from 1 species